rnacentral:rRNA from 1 species
AACGAACACUGGCGGCAGGCUUAACACAUGCAAGUCGAGCGCCCCGCAAGGGGAGCGGCAGACGGGUGAGUAACGCGUGGGAAUCUACCCAUCUCUACGGAAUAACGCAUGGAAACGUGUGCUAAUACCGUAUACGUCCUUCGGGAGAAAGAUUUAUCGGAGAUGGAUGAGCCCGCGUUGGAUUAGCUAGUUGGUGGGGUAAAGGCCUACCAAGGCGACGAUCCAUAGCUGGUCUGAGAGGAUGAUCAGCCACACUGGGACUGAGACACGGCCCAGACUCCUAUGGGAGGCAGCAGUGGGGAAUAUUGGACAAUGGGCGCAGGCCUGAUCCAGCCAUGCCGCGUGAGUGAUGAAGGCCCUAGGGUUGUAAAGCUCUUUCACCGGUGAAGAUAAUGACGGUAACCGGAGAAGAAGCCCCGGCUAACUUCGUGCCAGCCGCCGCAGUAACAC